AGGAGAGGGCAGCCACGGAGACCUUCAUCCUCCUGGUGGGCAGGCAGGGCUGGCCGAGGACUCCUGGGCUCACUGCUUCCUGGCUCCCCGGGAUACCAGCUCUGCCCUUGUAUUUAUAAGAAGAGGAGGAUCCAGGAAGUCCCAGGGCAGAGAAUGGGCGAUCAGCUGUCUUCACCACCCCCAGCUUAUACUCCUCUAGAGUGUAUCCUGAACCACUGGGACUGCUUUGACCCUCAGACUCUGGAGGAAAAUGGCUCAUAGCCCUCUGCACAAAGGUUUGGGCAAAUUAUGAAGGACUGGCUUGGCCUCAGGAAGAAACCAUUCAUUUCGAUAUCAUCCAGCAGUUGGAGCUUUUCUGUAAACGUGAGGGCAAAUGCUCUGAGGCCCCAUAUGUGCAGGCUUUCUAUACUUUGCAGGGCAAUCCAGACCUUAGCUGACAAUGUAGAAUUAAUCCAGACUGGUUUGCCAUCUCGGGAGAGGCUGCAAGGGGCAAUCCCAGGGAAGUAAAAAAACAAAUCCCAGAGGCAUCCCCAGCAGAGGAGCCAGCUCCCUCCAGCCCUGCUCCUCCAGGUCCACCCCAUCCUCCCUAUCCAGCUUCAGUCUCUCACUUGCCCCCUCCUAGAAAUUCUCACCCUAGACAAGCCCCAGUCUCAUUCUUUCCCCUCCAACAGAUGCCUGGUGAAUUUGCCCCAUAAGGUCCAGGUACUCUUCUCUCUACAGAACUUGAAGCAAAUUGAGGGGGAUCUUGGCAAGUUUUCAGAUGACCCUGAGAGAUAUAUAGAGGCUUUUCAGAACUUAGCCCAAGUAUUUGAGCUCUCCUAGGAAGAUGUCAUGUUGCUUUGAACCAAACCCUGACUAACACUGAGAAGCAGGCCACUCUGCAAGUGACAGAGAGAUCUGGGGAUGAGGUUUGUAUCAUAUGUAGCACCCAGGAAAGGGGGUGAAUAUUAUCCAACUGGAAGAGAAGGAGUAUCAAUGAAUGUCCCUAAAUGGGAUCCCAAUGACAAGAUGGGAGAAUGCAAGAGGAGAGUUUCAGGUGUGCAUAAUAGAGGGCUUAUGUAGGAUUAGAACUAAGCCUCUCUACUAUAUCAAGAUAUCCAUGAGAGACCAGGGAUUUAAUGAAAAUCCCACUGCCUUCUUGGGGAGGCUAAGAGGGACCUUUGUAAAGCAUAGGCCUCUGUGUCCCGAUUCCAUCAAGGGACAACUAAUCCUAAAUGAUAAAUGUAUUACUCAGGCAGCCCCUGAUAUCAGAGGGAAGUUGCAGAAAUGGGCCCUGGCAUCGGGGAGUACUUUAGGAGACCUCCUGAAAGAGGCCAACUUGGUCUUUUACAGUACAGAUAGGGAGACACAAGAAAGAGGCAGAAGCUUUAAGGGUCACCAUGCAAACCCACAAACCCCAGAAUUCCUAAGGUGCAUCUGUUAACUCCUACAGAUGUGGCAAGAACAGUUAUCUCUCUUCUAAAAUUUAACCACACCCAUGCAAGUCUUAAUUUCUUUCACUAAGGUGAAACAGCUCAGGGUACAAUGUUGUUAGUAUAUUACACUUCCUAUUUCAGUAAUCUUUGGUGGCAAGAACAGUUAUCUCUCUUCUAAAAUUUAACCACACCCAUACAAGUCUUAAUUUCUUUCACCAGGGUGAAACAGCUCAGGGUACAAUGUUGUGAGUAUGUUACAUUUCCUAUUUCUGUAAUCUUUGGCACUAGAUUAUUUCUUUGUAUAAUACACAUGUUUAACCCAUACAUACUUAACACCUUAUAAAACUUGUUUUUUUCUCUCAAGUUUGAGGUCAUGAAACUCCAAAUGGUCAGGCAACCGGAGCCUUGGAUGAUGACUCCCUUUCCCCAGGGAUCCUUAGAUAGACCUCUGGGAGGAAUCUGACUUCUGUUUUCCCCAAAACAAUGUCCUCUGUCAGCAGGAAGUAGCUAAGAUUGGUCAUUGUCCAUAUUCUAAUGGCAAUUAGAUGGGCCUCUUAGAGGGGGGAAAUGAUACAGAUACAGGCAAGGAAAUACUGGGUAGAAGAGGGCAGUUCCCCAACAAAGGCCCACCCUGAAGCCUGGAAAUCCAUGGUCCUAAGUGGGAGCAAGCAUUCCCAUUUUCAUGCCCAAAUGUUGCCUUUUCCAAGACCACUCUGGCCUGCCACACCCCUAUCCUGUGCCCAUAUAAACCCCAAGCUCUACAAGCAGAGGAACAGAAGAGCAGCAGAGUAGCAAAAUGGCAUGGCAGAGGAGAGAAGAGAAGGAGCAUCUGAACGUCAGGAGGAGUUCGGCUGAGGACGGUUGGAAAGUAGAUAAGCCGGGGAAGGCUGAACUCCAGGGGAAGAUCAUCUUCCCACUCCAUCCCCUUUCCAGCUCCACAUCCAUUCCUCUGAGAGCCAACUCCAUCACUCAGUAAAAUCCCCACCUUCACUAUCCUUCAGGUUGAUGUGACCUGAUUCUUCCUAGAUGCCAGACAAAGACGGAUACCAAGACAGCAGAAUAUAAAAGGCUGUCACCCUGACUCUCCACUGAGUGGAAUAGCCAUCCACAAAAAGCAACUGCUAAAGAGCAUUAAUUGUAACACACCCCUAGAUGCUACCAUGGGGAUGGAGCCCAAAAGUGCUCGCCCUGGCUCCUGCACCUGCCUGUCUGCAUGUUCCCCCUCCCACAGGGGAUUUGAAUGUGCAGCAGCCUUGCAAAUGAGCCACACCCCUGUCACAAGUCCUGUGAGGAAGUCAGGAAACUCUCCUCUGUUAGCCCAAGUGGUGCCAUCAAGUAAACCCCUGCCAUUUUGUACACCCUGAUCAGGGAGGAAACUUCCAUAGGGGCUCAGGCCAUGAAAAGCAUUUUGCCAAGCAGAUCCCAGGCCACACUGCCUGACUGCAGGAAAUGGCUCCCUUAUUACAUCCUGCCAGGCAGCUAGCCACACUGCCCCACCUCCCCUGUCCAGACCUAUAAUUGCCCCAGUCUGUAUGCAGGACGGGGGCUCCAGCACUCGCUGGUGUUCCCCUUCCACAGGUUUCUCUGUCCAAUAAACCUAUGUUGCUGUC